AAAAAAGGAAGACUUGAGCGGGUGCGGGAUGAAUCGAAUGAACUUCAUCUGAACUCGGAAUGAGCACACACUUUCGCGCUCAUACGUACACACACUUGACGAGUCAAGACUGUACACGGCACAGAUUUUCCACAACAGUGUGCAGAAUCGUCCAGGAAGCACGAUGGACCCAGGAAAGGGUGCACUCAUUUUGCAGACACCGGGCGGGUGGACACGGUGUGUUGGGAAAGACUCGGCAAACCACCAAAGGGCGACCUGCUGUCAAUUAAUUCACGUGGAAUGUUUGGAGGGCUUACGAAAAUGAAAAAAAAAAUAAUAAAAAGAAGUCUUGGAAAUAAUCAAUAAAAAUCUAUUGCCAAGUGAAAAACCAAGUGGCGUUUACAUUCUUGAAUACUGUGAGCGUGUCUGAUGAACCCACGCCCUACUCAGCUGUCCCUGUCAAUCAAA